GUCAGUGUUGCUUUGGUAGAGCUCAAGAAGUAGGAGGAUGACUGUGGCAUUCGUACGGAGCCCCCGGUCGUCUCACGGAUUAUUGAGCCUUACACCACUAAUCCGCUGCCACCAACCAGGUCCUCCCCGGUAAAUCACUUAGUCUCAGUCAGGUUCUUAAGUUAACAAAGAGUGUAGUUUAUUGCAGACACAAAUAAACUUUAACUGCAUUCAAAACGUUGUUACUCUUUACCUUCUUAGUCUUAUUUUUAUCCGGUCUCUAACUCUUCUACCUCCCCUCAUGCAAGAACCAACUGCACUAACUGUCUCUCUAAUUCCAACUGUCUGCCAACUGCUUUCCCAACUGCCUUUCCCAACCAACCAAACCACGAAAACCAACCAACUACCCACCUAACACAAACCUCGGGCGAAGCUCUUUUAUGAACAGGUCUAAAUUGAGCCGCUUCUGAAAUAAGCAAUAAGAGAAUGUCAAGUCUUAAGUGAAAGCAAGUCCCUGAAGAGUGAUUUGAAGUAAUUGUGCUUGUCCCCAUAAAGUCAAAGAAUUCAAGAGAAGCAGAGAAGGGGGUGCCUUGCCGCUUCUGUUGGAAAAGGGGUGUGGUUUAAACAGACUGGUCACCACGCCCCUUCCCAUUGUCCCCUGCUCCUUUCCCUGCAAGGGUUCAGGGAUGUCCUGCGGUUCUCUUGAAGACUUUUAAGACUGGACUUGGGGAAAACCUCACCGGCUCCAGACAUCCCUGUAAGGCAAAGGCAAACAGGGAUGUCCUGCGGUUCUCUUGAUGACUUUUAAGACUGGACUUGGGGAAAACCUCACCGGCUCCAGACAUCCCUGUAAGGCAAAGGCAAACAGGUGAGUGGGAUGGCCAACACCCGACAGCGUCCCCCCAGAUUCCUCCUCUGUUUGGCUGCCUGUUAACAAACAAGGCUUCCAAACCAGUUUGCACCCAUCUCAGCCAGCGUAGCCUCACAACAUCCACUAGCCUGAAUGCAAACUCUUCUGACAACCAUC